AUCCAGCUGAAGAGUCACAAAUAGAAUGAAAUGCGCAUCUCGGAU
rfam:Schistosoma margrebowiei strain Zambia genome assembly, scaffold: SMRZ_scaffold0005658